CCUACGGGAGGCAGCAGUGGGGAAUAUUGCUCAAUGGGGGGAACCCUGAAGCAGCAACGCCGCGUGAGGGAAGAAGGUUUUCGGUUUGUAAAGCCCUAUCAGCAGGGAAGAAAAUGACGGUACCUGACGACUAAGCCCCGGCUAACUACGUGCCAGCAGCCGCGGUAAUACGGAGGGGGCAAGCGUUAUCCGGAUUUACUGGGUGUAAAGGGUGCGUAGACGGUUUUGUAAGUCCGAAGUGAAAGCCCAAGGCUUAACCAUGGGACUGCUUUGGAAACUGUAAAACUGGAGUGCAGGAGAGGUAAGCGGAAUUCUUAGUGUAGCGGUGAAAUGCGUAGAUAUCAGGAGGAACACCAGUUGCGAAGGCGGCUUACUGGACUGUAACUGACGCUGAGGCACGAAGGCGUGGGGAGCAAACAGGAUUAGAUACCCCUGUAGUC
rnacentral:rRNA from 1 species